GAGACGCUUUGUCCAUGAACCUGAGCUGCGCCUAACAGGACAGGCAACAAUGCCACCGUGCAUGGAGAGCACGCAUCAUCAGAGCAACAACCUGCUGGGCAGCCAGACAUCCUGGGAUAGCAUGAUGAACAUUUUACUGCACAAAAGAAGGGUGCUAUGAACUAUUAUCACAAGUUGAUCCGGAGAAUGUGCAGCCACCUGAUAUCCCAUGAGUGAAUCUAAGGGUGCGUUUGGUUUGGAGACAAGAAGGGAUGGGACGGUGCCGUUCCUAUUUUUUGGGAUGGGAUCAUCCCGUCUUAUGUUUGGUUGAGAGGGAUGAAUUCAUCCCAGUUUUUUGUUUGGUACGAUGGAUUGAAAACGAGGGACGGAUGGCUCGGGUAACACCGUUAGCUACAUGUGUUUAGUGGGACCCACAUGUCAUAUAUGGGCCCACAUGUCAUCUUCUUUUCUUUUUUUUUUCUCCUCAUCCUUAUCUUCUCCAACCCGCUAGAGCUCCCGAAGGCCCAGGCUGCACGGCCCCUGCUCGCCCGCCGGAGCUCCGCGCCGCCCCCGCUCGCCCCCGCCGGAGGUCCCUGUCGCCCCGGCCGCGCCGCCCCCGCUCGCCCCCGCCGGAGGUCCCAACCGCGCCGCCCCCGCUCGCCCCAGGCCGCGCCGCCGGAGGUACCCGCUCGCCCCAGGAUGCGCCGCCGGAGGGGCCUGCUGGCCGUGGGCACCGGCCGCGGCGCCGGGGUGCUCGCCCCGCCGGCUGGACCCGCUUGCUCCGGCGGCCGCUCGUCCCAGGCCACGCCGUCGGAGGUCCCUGCCGGCCGCCGACCCUGGGCACCGGCCGCGCCACUGGAGGACCCCGUCCUGCCGGAGACGAAGCAGCCCCGCGCCAGUCUUGCGAACGGAGAAGGACGGAGCAGACGGCGCCCGAAGUGGGAUGACUCUGUCCGCUCGUUUUGGCCGGACGGGGUCAUCCCGCAUCUUGGGAGCAUAUUCCCAUUUGUGGACCGUCCCGUCCCUCGUGACUCCGAACCAAACACUAUCAAAUUUGGGACCGUCCCGCCCCGUCCCGUCCCGUCCCCGGUACCAAACACACCCUAAAGGGUCGAAACAAGGAUAAGAGGAGCGGGGGGGAGGGGGGAGGAGCUAAGAAUAAUCUAAUCUUGUACCUUGCUAUUAGUACCUAGUCACCAGGUUGAUAAUCUAAAAGAAGGUUUUACAAGAACACGGCAGACCAA
rnacentral:lncRNA from 1 species